AGAUUGAACGCUAGCGGGAUGCUUUACACAUGCAAGUCGAACGGCAGCGCGGACUUCGGUCUGGCGGCGAGUGGCGAACGGGUGAGUAAUAUAUCGGAGCGUGCCCAGUAGCGGGGGAUAACUACGCGAAAGCGUGGCUAAUACCGCAUACGCCCUACGGGGGAAAGGGGGGAUCGGCAAGACCUCUCACUAUUGGAGCGGCCGAUAUCAGAUUAGCUAGUUGGUGAGGUAAAGGCUCACCAAGGCGACGAUCUGUAGCUGGUUUGAGAGGACGACCAGCCACACUGGGACUGAGACACGGUCCCAGACUCCGUACGGGAGCAGCAGU
rnacentral:rRNA from 1 species